rnacentral:rRNA from 1 species
UACGAAGGGGGCUAGCGUUGCUCGGAAUGACUGGGCGUAAAGGGCGCGUAGGCGGCUUGCACCGUCAGAUGUGAAAUUCCUGGGCUUAACCUGGGGGCUGCAUUUGAUACGUGUGGGCUUGAGUGCGGAAGAGGGUCGUGGAAUUCCCAGUGUAGAGGUGAAAUUCGUAGAUAUUGGGAAGAACACCGGUGGCGAAGGCGGCGACCUGGUCCGUGACUGACGCUGAGGCGCGAAAGCCAGGGGAGCGAACGGG